rnacentral:rRNA from 2 species
GUCGCAAGACCAAAGAGGGGGACCUUCGGGCCUCUUGCCAUCGGAUGUGCCCAGAUGGGAUUAGCUAGUAGGUGGGGUAAAGGCUCACCUAGGCGACGAUCCCUAGCUGGUCUGAGAGGAUGACCAGCCACACUGGAACUGAGACACGGUCCAGACUCCUACGGGAGGCAGCAGUGGGGAAUAUUGCACAAUGGGCGCAAGCCUGAUGCAGCCAUGCCGCGUGUAUGAAGAAGGCCUUCGGGUUGUAAAGUACUUUCAGCGGGGAGGAAGGGAGUAAAGUUAAUACCUUUGCUCAUUGACGUUACCCGCAGAAGAAGCACCGGCUAACUCCGUGCCAGCAGCCGCGGUAAUACUGAGGGUGCAAGCGUUAAUCGGAAUUACUGGGCGUAAAGCGCACGCAGGCGGUUUGUUAAGUCAGAUGUGAAAUCCCCGGGCUCAACCUGGGAACUGCAUCUGAUACUGGCAAGCUUGAGUCUCGUAGAGGGGGGUAGAAUUCCAGGUGUAGCGGUGAAAUGCGUAGAGAUCUGGAGGAAUACCGGUGGCGAAGGCGGCCCCCUGGACGAAGACUGACGCUCAGGUGCGAAAGCGUGGGGAGCAAACAGGAUUAGAUACCCUGGUAGUCCACGCCGUAAACGAUGUCGACUUGGAGGUUGUGCCCUUGAGGCGUGGCUUCCGGAGCUAACGCGUUAAGUCGACCGCCUGGGGAGUACGGCCGCAAGGUUAAAACUCAAAUGAAUUGACGGGGGCCCGCACAAGCGGUGGAGCAUGUGGUUUAAUUCGAUGCAACGCGAAGAACCUUACCUGGUCUUGACAUCCACGGAAGUUUUCAGAGAUGAGAAUGUGCCUUCGGGAACCGUGAGACAGGUGCUGCAUGGCUGUCGUCAGCUCGUGUUGUGAAAUGUUGGGUUAAGUCCCGCAACGAGCGCAACCCUUAUCCUUUGUUGCCAGCGGUCCGGCCGGGAACUCAAAGGAGACUGCCAGUGAUAAACUGGAGGAAGGUGGGGAUGACGUCAAGUCAUCAUGGCCCUUACGACCAGGGCUACACACGUGCUACAAUGGCGCAUACAAAGAGAAGCGAUCUCGCGAGAGCAAGCGGACCUCAUAAAGUGCGUCGUAGUCCGGAUUGGAGUCUGCAACUCGACUCCAUGAAGUCGGAAUCGCUAGUAAUCGUGGAUCAGAAUGCCACGGUGAAUACGUUCCCGGGCCUUGUACACACCGCCCGUCACACCAUGGGAGUGGGUUGCAAAAGAAGUAGGUAGCUUAACCUUCGGGAGGGCGCUUACCACUUUGUGAUUCAUGACUGGGGUGAAGUCGUAACAAGGUAACCGUAGGGGAACCUGCGGUUGGAUCACCU